UUUUGAACCUAUUCCCUGUCAUGGUGGGUAGAAAAUCAAUCACUACACCUGUAUUUAUAAAACAAUCAGAACAGAGGAAAAGACACAAUUUUGAAUUCCAGCCACACAUUAAAACAACCCAUAUUUAUAAAACAAUCAGAACAGAGGAAAAGACAUGAUUUUGAAUUCCAGCCAUGCAUUAAUUGUGUGCAUUUAGGCACAUCACUUAAGCCUGUUAAAAUUCAUUUUAUCCACUGAAAGCACUUUAUAUACUUAAACGAACUAUGCUCAUUUACAGGGUUCUGUACAUGAUCCUGCAUCCGUAAAACUGAGAAACCAACAGAAUGAGGACAGAAUGAAAAAAGAAAAAAACUUUCAGAAUGUUCUUCCUUUCCUCAAUGCCAUACAGUUUGUGCAGUCAGCUGAUUGGCUGAAAAGAGUCAGUUUUGACGACUGAUGCUUCCUGCUUAUGUUUAGUUGGUUUAGGAAGCUCAUUAGGAUGCUAUCUCGGAGAUGAGUCUGGUGAGUAGAAUAUCUGAUGACUCUAAGGCAAAUGUACUUCCUUCAGCUGGUGAAUUAAUUUCUCAAUAGACUCAAUUUGCUUUUUACUGUCUGGCAAUAUCCCAUAUUUGCAAUGGCCUUUCAAACACUUGCAAUAAAAUGUGGCUCACACAUACAACCUGUUAGCGGUGAAAGAGAAACAUUCAUCACAUUCAAAAUUCUCCAAACAUGAGAGCAGCUCAAUGUGCUUUAAGACAGUAUAACCUAAUGAUACAUCUCUAUUUUCCCCUUCCUUUUAAAAUCAUUUAGACAGAUAUAUGAGAAGUAAAUAUGUGUUUAGAAAGUAUUAGUCAUCAUAGAUGUACCUCCAGUCAUCCAUUCAAAUGUAAACAUGGUAAAAUAUGCACUUAUACAAUUUUAUACUAUCAAUGAGUAUAGGUAGGUGAAAAUUAGUGUUGCCAGAAAAAAUUCAAACCAGAAAACUGAAAGUAUAGAAAAAUACUUUUUAUUUUGUCAUUGAAAAACCAUUUUAAAAUAAUAUAUCGUGUAGAAUAAAAAAUUCCAUGGAUAUAUACAUGCAAAUUAUACAUAUAUGUGAAUUUAAUUUUGUUAAAAGGUAAUUGGCAUCUGCAAUUUCAUGCAGUCUAAGUGAAACCCAUAAAGAAAUGUGUAUGAAAUAGGAAAGCAACAAAAGCUCAUAACAUUUUAAAAUUAGAAAUCAGAUUCAAAACCCAUCAUGAUCUAUUUUAAAUUUAUCUCUAUAACAUUUCAAUUGAGACAUAAAACACACUUUAUACAACAUGCCUCACUAUUUUAUUAACAGCAUGACUUCCCUUUCCCCAAUCCCCAAACCAUGUUCCCAUCUACACCCCACCCCACCCAAAUCUCACCUCUUCCAUUAGCAUUAUUACAAACAUAUUUUACAAAUCUUAUACCAAGCUUUUCCAGUCUCUUUUCAAUGUAGAAAUAUCUUAUAUAUAAACCCAAAUACCACAAAUCUUCACAUUUAUAUUUUCUAAAGCAGUUAAACCUUUAUAGACAAUUCUACCUAAAAAGCCAAAUGCGCUUGACAAUAUGUCAUGUUAUGUUAAGUUGACCAGACACAGAAGUCAUUUCUGUCGGAUUUCUUGUCGAUGUUUGCAUUAAGUUGGAGCUUUCUGAUCUCAGCUCUUCUUGUGCCAGUAAUUUGAAAGGUCACCUCUCUGUUGGCCUUUGGUUUAUGCAAUGCAGUCUGGCAUUGCAUAAUUAAAAGUCUCGGCCGGGCACAGUGGCUCACGCCGGUAAUCUCAGCACUUUCGGAGGCCGAGGCGGGCGGAUCCCAAGGUCAGGAGAUCCAGACCAUCCUGGCUAACACGGUGAAACCCAGUCUGCACUAAAAAUACAAAAAAAUUAGCUGGAUGUGGUGGCAGGCGCCAGUAGUUCCAGCUACUCACGAGGCAGAGGCAGGAGAAUGGCGUGAACCCGGGAGGGGGAGCUUGUGGUGAGCCAAGAUCGCGCCAUCGCACUCCAGCCUGGGCUACAGAGUGAGACUCCGUCUCAAAAAAAAGAAAGAAAAAAAAAAGUCUUGUGAAUUUGUACAUAGAAUAUUGAAGUUAGAAGAGGCUUAUCACUCUCUGGGCUCUAAUACUGCCCAGAGGUUAUUUGUUUCUUGUUUCCAUAAGAAAAUCCUAUGUCUCUCCAUUAGCAUUCCUGAUCCUUACCUCCAAUUCAAAAUGUGGCCAGUUCCACCUUCUAAGCCUUUAUACCAAAUUGACUGGGUAGGUUUAUUAUGAAUCUGUGUUCUUGUCCAAACUCUACAUUAGACCUCGCAGGAGAGUUCAAACUAAAAACUAAUGAGUAAGUGCAAUAUUACAAUUGAAACGGGAGCAAACAUAAUUUCAAGUAGGACACAUAAAAACUGUGGGACCAAAAGAGGAAGAGUGCACGCCAAAUGUUCUCAAUUCUGAAAUGGCUCUUGUGAAAUAUCUAUGUGAAAACACUUCAAGGACCUGAAAAAAAAAUGGUGAAAAAGCGAACAACCUUCCUUGCAAAACAACUCCAGAGUUAAUGCCAGAGCUUUCUAUCAAAACAUCCAUGUUAAGUUCGCCGGAAAGAUUCAGAAGAUCAAUGACAGGAGUAAGGGAAAAAACAAGGACAUUUUGUGAGUAGGAACGUAUAAUGACCCUGCAACAGGAGAACGAGAGAGGGGGAAGAAGGAAAUGGAGGGUAAUAAAUCUCUGGAAGAGAAAAGAAAAGAAAGCCGCUCUGAGCGUACCUACC
rnacentral:lncRNA from 10 species